AGGGGACAUUAGGACUUAGCACGAGAGCCACCGGGCUCUGGGCUGCGGAGGAGGUUGGAGGUGACCUUCCAGAAGGAACGUGGGACAAGGGAGCAAGUGAGGACCUGGUGGGUAGUGGUUACUCUGUGAGAAGCCAGCAGCACCAACCAAAUAGAAGGUGGAGAAGUGGCCCCCAGCUUCCCAGUUUGGGUUUGGGCCAAGACAACUAAGAAAAGGGUCCACCGUCUUCACUCCAGGUCAGAUGACCCUGCAUUGUAUCAAGUAGAAAAAUGUCUAACCAAGACAGAGGAGAAUACGAACCCUCUCAGCUCAUAGACAGGUGAUGAUGUGGUUUCCAACUGACUUUCAAGCAAACAGAUUUCCAAGCGUGCUUGAAGAGGGCAGUAAAUGAGAAGGCACAAGAUGCAAGAAGAGAGAGGGGUUUGCUGGAAAUCGUGGCUGACCACCUCAGAAGGACCCAGAAGACCCGAACUUUCUGGUUUUGCCUUUCACCUUGCUCUGAAACUUCUCCCAACACUGGAAGACAAGAAAGUUCCGCCCUACCUCCGCCCCACCUCCGCCCCCUGGACCAGGGAGAUUCUUCUCUUUGGGCAAGCAGGCUUGCUGGGCAAUCGUGAGCUGCUGAGUUCCCAUCCCCAUAGAAAGCUGGACAUGGACAUGCAUGCCUGUUUCUGCAGCAUGCUCAACUCCAGGAGCUCUCUGGUCUCCUAUAAAUAAAGGAUAACACAU
ensembl:lincRNA E130006D01Rik RIKEN cDNA E130006D01 gene